ensembl:snRNA U1 U1 spliceosomal RNA
AUACUUACCUGGCAGGGGAGAUACCAUGAGCAAGAGGUGGUUCACCCAGGGUGAGGCUCGUCAUGCAACUUCCGCGAUUGGCUGACCCCUGCGAAUUCCCCAAAUGUGGGAAUCUCGACUGCAUAAUUUUCUGGUUAGUGGGUGGGACUGCGUUCGCGCUCUUCCCCU